rnacentral:rRNA from 1 species
GAAAGAGAAGAAGAGCGAACGGAGGAUGCCUUGGCUUCUGGUGGCGAGGAAGGACGUGGUAAGCUGCGAAAAGCCGCGGGGAUUUGCAAACAAGACUUGAUCCGCGGAUGUCCGAAUGGGGGAACCCACAUGGUUGAAGACCAUGUACCGGCGUAUUGCCGGGGCGAACGCAGGGAACUGAAACAUCUUAGUACCUGCAGGAAGAGGAAGAAAAAAUCGAUAUCCUGAGUAGUGGCGAUCGAAAGGGACAGAGCCUAAACCGUCUUGCUUACGGGCAAGGCGGGGUUGUAGGAGCCGACACGGCGUGCGUGGCGCGAACAGGAAGCAGUUGGAAAACUGCGGCAUAGACGGUGAAACCCCGGUACUGGCAAGCAAAUCGCACAAGUCGGCCACCUGAGUAGGGCGGGACACGUGGAAUCCUGUCUGAAUCAUCGGGGACCAUCCCGAAAGGCUAAACACAACCAGAAGACCGAUAGUGUACCAGUACUGUGAAGGAAAGGUGGGAAGCACCCCGGGUAGGGGAGUGAAACAGAACCUGAAACCGUUCGUUUACAAGCGGUCGGAGCUCGCGAGAGCGACGGCGUGCCUUUUGCAUAAUGAGCCUACGAGUUACUUCAUGUUGGCGAGGUUAAGGACUUCAGGUCCGGAGCCGGAGCGAGAGCGAGUCUGAAGAGGGCGCGAGUCAGCAUGAGUAGACGCGAAACCUAGUGAUCUACCCUUGUCCAGGGUGAAAGAGCCGUAACAGGCUCUGGAGGCCCGAACCAGUUUCCGUUGAAAAGGGCUUGGAUGAGGUGAGGGUAGGAGUGAAAGGCCAAUCAAACUGGGAGAUAGCUCGUACUCCCCGAAAUGUUUUUAGGAACAGCCUCGAUUGUGCCUGCAUGAGGUAGAGCUACUGAUUGGGAGAGAGGGCUUCGCCGCCUAUCAAUCCCAGACAAACUCCGAAUGCGUGCAGGUUAAGAUCGGGAGUGAGUCGCCGGGUGCUAAUAUCCGGUGGCGAAAGGGUAAGAGCCCAGACCAACAGCCAAGGCCCCCAAGAGCAGUUUAAGUUGAGACAGAACGAGGUGACAUCGCAUAGACAGCUAGGAUGUUAGCUUGGAAGCAGCUAUUCAUUCAAAGAGUGCGUAACAGCUCACUAGUCGAGCGACGUUGCGUGGAUGAUAACCGGGCAUCAAGACUGCCGCCGAAGCUUUGGACUCUUCAUUGAGUUGAAGAGUGGUAGGGGAGCAUUGACGUCGGCGUUGAAGGUGGGACGCGAGUCCUGCUGGAGCGGCGUGAAAAGAAAAUGUAGGCAUAAGUAACGAUAAUGGGUAUAUAAAUACCCACACCGAAAACCCAAGGUUUCCUGAGCUACGCUAAACGGAUCAGGGUCAGUCGGGUACUAAGCGGACCCCGAAGGGGCAACGCGAUGUGAAACGGGUCAACAUUCCCGUACCUGAUAUGCAGGACAUACAGAGACCGAGAAGUGAAACCGCUGCGAACUGACGGAAUAGUUCGUUGAAGUCCAAAGGGGCGACCUGAAGGGCGACAGUACCGGGAGCAUCCGUGCAACCGGACAACGCGGGUAAUCAUACUUGCAAGAAAAUCUGUAUGUCGCCAAGCGCAUACCAGCCCGUACCAUAAACCGACACAGGUGGGUGAGGAGAGAAUCCUAAGGUGCUCGAGUGAAUCACGGCUAAGGAACUAGGCAAAUUGACCCCGUAACUUCGGGAGAAGGGGACCCUACCCAGCGAUGGGAGGGCGCAGAGAAAUGGCCCAGGCGACUGUUUAACAAAAACAUAUGGCUAUGCGAAAUCGUUAAGAUGACAUAUAUGGCCUGACACCUGCCCGGUGCCGGAAGGUUAAGAGGGGGGCUCAGCGCGAGCGAAGGUCUGAAUCGAAGCCCCGGUAAACGGCGGCCGUAACUAUAACGGUCCUAAGGUAGCGAAAUUCCUUGUCGGGUAAGUUCCGACCUGCACGAAUGGUGU